UCUGCCCCUAGGGGCAUUGCAGGUGUGGCUGCUGUGUCCCGUGUGUGUCAGUAGGUGGGAGAGAGGAGACAGGCUAUGUCUAUGCUUGUGUUCUGAUCUAUGAACAUCUGAGUGAUUAGUAGUCUAAUAUU